GUGCCAGCAGCCGCGGUAAUACGUAGGCAGCGAGCGUUGUUCGGAAUUACUGGGCGUAAAGAGUGUGUAGGCGGUGCCCUAAGUUCGGUGUGAAAUCUCCCUGCUCAACUGGGAGGGUGCGCCGGAAACUGGGGUGCUCUAACGUGGGAGAGGAAAGCGGAAUUCCACGUGUAGCGGUGAAAUGCGUAGAUAUCGAGAGGAACACCUGCGGCGAAGGCGGGUUGCUGGGCCGACACUGACGCUGAUGCGCGAAAGCCAGGGGAGCGAACGGGAUUAGAUACCCUGGUAGUCC
rnacentral:rRNA from 1 species